AAGGAAUUUUCGGCAAUGGGGGAAACCCUGACCGAGCAACGCCGCGUGAGUGAUGAAGGUCUUCGGAUUGUAAAGCUCUGUUGUCAGGGACGAACGGUAUUCCUAGGAAAUGAGGAGUAUUUGACAGUACCUGGCCAGAAAGCCACGGCUAACUACGUGCCAGCAGCCGCGGUAAUACGUAGGUGGCAAGCGUUAUCCGGAAUUAUUGGGCGUAAAGAGUGAGCAGGCGGCAGUUUAAGUCUGAAGUGAAAGCGUGAAGCUCAACUUCAUACAGCUUCAGAAACUGAACAGCUAGAGUACGGGAGAAGUAAGUGGAACUCCAUGUGUAGCGGUGAAAUGCGUAGAUAUAUGGAAGAACACCAGUGGCGAAGGCGACUUACUAGCCCGAGACUGACGCUCAGUCACGAAAGCGUGGGUAGCAAAU
rnacentral:rRNA from 1 species